CAAUACUCGUUUAGUCAUGGGUGGUAGGAAUGCUAUCCUCUUGUUCUUACUGGCACUUGUUCUACUCGGCAGCCCUGCCUCCGCAGUAAAGAAGCCGAACUGCUACGAGAACACGUCGGGCAGCCCGCUGUGCGUGGCUCCUCUGUGCAAGGCGACGUGCUGGAUCGCAGGGCAGAUGUUCCAUGCCCGGGUCUUGGAACACAAGUGCGUCGGGUCGAUUCUCAAGAGCUCCUGUUACUGCUACCUUUGCGACAAAUAGACAGUUAAAAGCAUUUGGAAGUUACCGCUGACUCAGUACCAAAAUAAGUGAUCCGGAUUUGUAUAAAUUCUUAUACAAAUUCAAGUCGCUUAUUUUGAAACGGAGGAAGUAGUACCGAAGAAAGAAAGGUAGCCGAAGAAUCAGUAUUACCAUGGUCAAUAAUUAAAGAGUAAUUAAAUCCGUGGUGUCUUGCUUUUAGCAUCAUUUUAGAGAUGGAAUCAAUCAAGAAUUUCUUCUAGGUAGUUGACUAGUUUGUUAGUCUAUCCAGUCUCUUACGAUGUUAGAUUUUUUUUCUCUUGUUGUGGAAACCAGUCACGUUUGCUUUCUCACUGGUGAA